rnacentral:rRNA from 1 species
UACGAAGGGGGCUAGCGUUGCUCGGAAUCACUGGGCGUAAAGGGUGCGUAGGCGGCUUGUUAAGUCUUGCGUGAAAUCUCGGGGCUCAACCCCGAGCGGUCGUGAGAAACUGGCAGGCUAGAGUGCGGGAGAGGAGAGUGGAAUUCCUGGUGUAGCGGUGAAAUGCGCAGAUAUCAGGAAGAACACCCGUGGCGAAGGCGGCUCUCUGGAACGCAACUGACGCUGAGACGCGAAAGCGUGGGGAGCGAACAGG